AAAGCAUCUAACGGAAAUCAUGCUGGAGCAACUAGCUGACCCUCACCGACCAAGGAUCAACAAACAGCACCGGAAUAUCUGGUUACUUGCAAGAUCGAGCAUCUGGGAUUCCGGCUGUCCAGCUCUUUUCCGAAAAUGCUUAUCUACUGUAUGGAUAAUUAAAUCAUCAAUCAGAAAGGGUCGGACCUAUUGAUGCUUUUGUUCAAAGCCAAUCAGAUCCCAGGGAGCAAGACAUAGCAGAAGAUGGAGAUGUGAAACAUCUGGAAUUCAGAAAUUUUCCAAAGACUGUAGAUCAUUAACCAAUUCUGAGGCCGAAUCCGCUGGGAGAAGUUUAGUGUCUGACGUCUGAUGUCAUUCGUGUCUUAGUUUAUUCGCUAAUGAAUCGCUAAUGAAUACGUAUUAUUAUUAUUAUUAUUAUUAUUAUUAUUAUUAUUAUUAUUAUUAUUAUUAUUAAUGUUGUUGUUUUGUUAUUAUUAUUAUUAGUAGUAGUAUUAGUAUCUAUAAUAAUGAUAAUUAUGGUGGCAGUUGGGUUUUUUAUUUAAUUUUUACUGUUUUUUGAGGAUAUACACGUUUAUAUGUUUAUUAUGAAUUUAAAAGGAAUAGUAAAAUUAUCAUCCCAUGUUAUAUAAAAGAGGCUGGAUUAAUUUAUAUUUUAAUUACACCUUUUUUUAUUAAAAGUAGCGAAUUUGUUCGUUUGUUAUUCAUUGAUUUUUGGUUUGUCUGUUUAGUCAUAAUUUGCAGGUAUGUACCAGAAGAAAUGCCAAACGCUUCCUUUCAGCGCAUUCAGGGGUAAGUAAAAACCUUGAUACCGUCUUUAAAAAUAGACAUUGCCUUUUAGCAUGCAUUUUAAUCCAGAGUAAGCUAUUUCCGCACAGUCUACUCUGGAGCGUUACGCGACCGUCCGAUUUACUGGAUGAGUUUGUGGAAGUAGUCUACAGUACGUCUUUUAUGUCGCCGAUUCCUUUUUCUCUGCAGAAUUUAUAAAUAAUUUGGAAAGAUCAACGCGUGCGUUCCAUACCGCAGACAGGUUGCAGAUGGACUGAUUAAAUCCAUGUGUGCAUCAAAUGUGGUUAAACUAAAAACAACAUCAGCGACACGGACACCCUGACAUUAGCACACUUCGCAGUGCUAUCACUCAGUUAGCAGCUUGUUAAUUAACCCCUUCCACAAAUAACUUCGUUCUCUUUUCGUUUGGAUAUCAUGUAUGGCGUAAAACAGAAUUGCCACAUACGAUGAACCUAACGGGACCCAGUAGUCACACUGUUCUUAAUGAAUUUGUCAAUGCGGAAUGAACGUAUCCCCCUUUCUCUGUUUCCAAUAGCUGAAUCGAUUGCCUUAAACGUCGUGUGUAUACCGGUAUUGUGAAGAAUGUUAGAAAGUGUUACAUUGUAAAUACCAGACUUUGGUUGAAGAAGUGAGAUUAUUAUUUUACUGUGUCCGCAGUGUAGUCAAUUCAUGAGUGUUUUACAAUACAUUAAAAUAAUAAAACAAUGUAUUUUAAGUCAAGUAGAUACGUGUAUUUGCUUACCAUCUGCAGUACAAAUACAAAUACUUUGAUGUUCAAUUAAAGCCUUCAAUUAGAGCUGGCAUUUAAGAAAUUUAGACCAUAUACGGUUAUGUUUUAAUUGUUUACAAAGGUGAUACAAAAAUAAAAUAGCUUUUUGAAUAUACAGUGUAACAAACUGCUUUUAUAUUAGUCAUAUUUUUCACAGAUUUCUUUGCAUAGGUGUAGGCCUAUGUGAUGUUCAAAAUGUAACUAGUCUGUAGUUGUCUUGAUGUGGAAAAGUUUGCAUGUACAUGAUAUUGUGGUUAAUACUAUAAAUAAACAUGCUGGAUGUGA